GGUCCAAUAGUCUAGUUGGUUAGGACGUGGGUUUCUGAUCUGUCCCCGUUAGUUAAAUAACUUGGACAUCUGAACUGCCCGAAGCCUCAGUUCGAAUCUGGGUUGGACCU
rnacentral:tRNA from 1 species